CAUCAGAACUCUCUCCAGAUGAAUUGAAUCUGAGCUGGAAAGCAGCCUGUGACUCAUCGCGGGUGACUGCUCAGCCCAGAUGUCUCCAAUGGAAGGCACGGCCAAAACACUGCUCUUGGAACAAGAAGUGGAGCUUCAGGUUCUCCAUCUGGCAUCAGUGCCUGCCUGGCAUAACUGUGACAUGGAAAAGUAUGAGAGCACCUUGGAUUGUCACUGCAGUUGAAACCAAGAACAAGCAAUGCAAGAUUGUUAUGGGUGCAUUGUAUCCCCAGUUUGCAUGUUGACAUCCUAACCACUAGAACCUCAGAAUGGGACUGUAUUUGGAGACAAGGUCUUUACACAGGUAAUUAAAUUAAAAAAGGUCAUUAAGUUGGUCCCUUUUUUACAAUGUGACUGUUAUCUGUAUAAGAAGAGGAGAUUAGGACACAUAUACGUACAGAGACAAGACAUUGUAAAGACACAGGGGGAAGACAGCCAUCCACAAGCCAAACACAUCACAAGAAUUGUGAGAAAAUAAAUUUUUACUGUUGUUGGAUGACUCUGAUUUUACAAACAUCUGAGCCUUCAGAAUCGUGAGAAAAUAAAUUUCUACUCUUUAAGACAUCCAGUCUGGUGUGUGUGUGUUUCUUUUUUAAUGGCAGCCUAGCAAACUAGUAUAAAAGUGUGUGAGGAUUAAAAGGGGAGGCAGGCUGGCUGUGGUGGCUCACACCUGUAAUCCCAGCACUUUUUUUUUUAAAGACAGAGGCUUGCUCUAUUACCAGACUGGAGUGCAGUGGCCUGAUCUCAGCUCACUGCCACCCCUG
rnacentral:lncRNA from 1 species